GUGCUGGCUGCAGCAGCACAUAUACUAAAAAUUAGGCUGAUACAGAAAAGAUUAGCACCCUUUCAUAUGGAUGACAUGCAAAUUCAUGAAGUGUUCCAUAAUCUA